UGGGGAAUCUUGCACAAUGGAGGAAACUCUGAUGCAGCGACGCCGCGUGAACGAUGAAGCCCUUCGGGGUGUAAAGUUCUUUCGUCAGGAACGCGGUACCUGGAGAAGAAGCUGCGGCUAACUACGUGCCAGCAGCCGCGGUAAUACGUAGGCAGCAAGCGUUGUUCGGAAUUAUUGGGCGUAAAGAGUAUGUAGGUGGUGUCGAAGUUUGGUGUGAAAUCUCCCGGCUUAACCGGGAGGUGCGCCGAAGACUGCGAGCUGGAGUAUGGGAGAGGGAUCGGAAUUCCUGGUGUAGCGGUGAAAUGCGUAGAUAUCAGGAGGAACACCUGUGGUGUAGACGGGUCCUGGACCAUUACUGACACUGAGAUACGAAAGCGUGGGUAGCAAACAGGAUUAGAUA
rnacentral:rRNA from 1 species